rnacentral:rRNA from 1 species
CAGCCGUAAACUAUGCUCGCUCGGUGUCAGGCAUGGCGCGACCGUGUCUGGUGCCGCAGGGAAGCCGUGAAGCGAGCCACCUGGGAAGUACGGCCGCAAGGCUGAAACUUAAAGGAAUUGGCGGGGGAGCACAACAACGGGUGGAGCCUGCGGUUUAAUUGGACUCAACGCCGGACAACUCACCGGGGACGACAGCAAUAUGUAGGCCAGGCUGAAGACCUUGCCUGAAUCGCUGAGAGGAGGUGCAUGGCGUCAGUGACU